AGGUCACUGGGAUGAACUGGGAGGUCACUGGGAUGAACUGGGAGGUCACUGGGAUGAACUGGGAGGUCACUGGGAGGUCACUGGAAUGAACUGGGAUGAAGUGGGAGGUCACUGGGAUGAACUGGUUCAAACUGUGAGGUCACUGGGAGAUCACUGGGCUGAACUGGGAGGUCACUGGGAUGGACUGGGAUGAACUGAGAGGUCACUGUGAUGAACUGGAAGGGACUGGGAUGGACUGGGAAGUCACUGGGAUGGACUGGAAGGGACUGGGAUGGA